rnacentral:rRNA from 1 species
UACGUAGGGUCCGAGCGUUGUCCGGAAUUAUUGGGCGUAAAGAGCUUGUAGGCGGUUUGUUGCGUCUGCUGUGAAAUUUCGGGGCUCAACCCCGAACUUGCAGUGGGUACGGGCAGACUAGAGUGUGGUAGGGGAGACUGGAAUUCCUGGUGUAGCGGUGAAAUGCGCAGAUAUCAGGAGGAACACCGAUGGCGAAGGCAGGUCUCUGGACCACUACUGACGCUGAGAAGCGAAAGCAUGGGGAGCGAACAGG